UACAGAGGGGGCAAGCGUUGUUCGGAAUUACUGGGCGUAAAGGGCGCGUAGGCGGCCUGUUAAGUCGAACGUGAAAUCCCCGGGCUCAACCCGGGAACUGCGUCCGAUACUGGCAGGCUUGAAUCCGGGAGAGGGAUGUGGAAUUCCAGGUGUAGCGGUGAAAUGCGUAGAUAUCUGGAGGAACAUCGGUGGCGAAGGCGGCAUCCUGGACCGGUAUUGACGCUGAGGCGCGAAAGCCAGGGGAGCAAACGGG
rnacentral:rRNA from 1 species